AGUCACUUAGCUCAGUGGUAGAGUAUUACGUUGACGUCGUAAAAGCCAUUGGUUCGAUCCCAAUAGUGACUA
rnacentral:tRNA from 1 species